rnacentral:lncRNA from 1 species
GAAGUAGCCUCGGAUCACCAAAGGGAAGUCUCUCUCCAACCCUCUGUCCCCGCUCACUCGCAGGAUGGAGUGCGUCCGGUCCCCUGGCAGGCCGCCGCCUUCCUUUACCCUUGAUCUCGCUGAGUGUGGCCACCCAUCGCCAGCGGCAGGGUGUCGGAGGGCUCUGGCCAGGGCCAGGUGGCGUUCAGCAGCGCUGCGCUCUGGGGAUUGGACACGGCCCCAGAGGCGACAGAGGAGCCAUUAUUCGCGGAAUUUCCCUUCAGUGCCCAUCAGAAGAGGAGACGCCACACACAGGCACACUCCGGGGCUGGGGAGUCCUGGGGACAGCGGCCUGACCCUGGCUUUGGUUGCAUUUCACGCCGGAGAGAGUUCCUGCUUGUUGGGCAGCGGCUUGGACGGGGUUUAAUAGGGUUAUGCUGCUCACGGUUUCUCCUGCUGAGCAGAGGAGAAGGUCAAUCCCUGGGGCAGAGGAGCCCUCGGGGUCGAGGAGUCCCCGCAGUUGGGUUUACAGCUCGGGCAUCUCUGUAUCACAGGUGUAGAUUGUAUCUCAGCUCUGUGGUGACAGUGUCAGAUGGCUGGCCAUGUUGCUGAGAGUGACGCGGCGUGGUGACGCACCUGUAACCAGCUCUCAGGAGGCCGAGGCAGGAGGAGCGCAGGCUUGAGGCUGGCCUCAGUAACUUAGCGAGACCUUGUCUCAAACUUACAAAUAAAAAGGGCUGGAGGUGCAGCUGGCGGCAGAGCGCCCCUGGAUUCGGUGCCCAGUCCUGGGGGUGGGGGAGUCACGAGAAGGGCUUUUGUGCCACAGAGGACGGCUUUGGAGCUCUCUCUUUUUUUUUCAGAAAGCUCAGUGUGCACCUCCAGUCAACAGGGAGGAUCUGGGGCUGGAAGAGCAGACCUUCGUCCUUCCUGUCCCUUCUGAUGGCUGGCUGGAAAGACGUCCACCCAGGGACCCUGGUUCGGCUGUGAUUUUCUCCAUUUUUCUCAGCAGGAAGCUCGGGAGGCGCCCUGACCCGCCGGCUGCACUCGUGGGUGAGUGCGGAGUGCGGCAUCCUGGAGCCGGGGCCUCCAACAAGGUGGCACUGCCUGGCCCCGCAGGCCACGUGACAGGCAUGCUCUCUGUCUGGAUCCCUGUGUCCCUGUCCAGUCUGUGUCGUGACUCACAAGGCAGCCAUCAGAGUACCCCAAAACGUCCUCCCUACGGUGUCAGGGACAGCGAUGAGCAAGACCCAAAUAAAAUGUGCAGCACAUUCCCUCACGUCUGGACAGUGACAGAAAAUCGAGCUACAAUUGCUUUCGUGCAUUCUGAGAGCUGGGUCUCUGCCCGAAGGCGGUGAUGUAAAUAAGGCUGAUGUUUACCUCUCUGUUGCGAAACGAUCUGAGCCUACAGGAGCAGUGCUGUCUGCAGAUGGCUGCUCUAGCUCCUGCCAUUGCAUCUGCCUUUCAGCUGAGGCAAGAAAACGAAGGGGAGGUACCUACCUUUCUUUUUGAAGGCAUUAACCGGAAAUUGUAGGACUCGUUUCUGCUCUCAUUCCAUUGGUCAGAAUCCAGUCAUGUGACCCCGUCUAUGUGUGUGGCAAGCACCUAUCUAAAUAGCUGUGUCUUUUAUUCCUGCAGAAGGAGGGGCGGGGGACACUGGGGACACAACCGCAGAGUCUUCCUCAGUGACUAGUGGCCAGGCAGUGUUUCAGUUGGUGAGGAAGAACAAUGGACAGGUCAGUGAACACCCUGGCCUCUGGGAGGAGAGCUGGGGCCCUGGGAGCCCAGAGGAGGUUCCCAGGUGGAGGGAGUGGCCAGUGGCUGGGCACAGCUGGCCGGAAGCCCAGGAAGGGGAAAUGCAAAGGAAGGAGGGGGAGGGGACCCUUGAGGGGCAUCCCCAGGGAGUGGUGGGGACAGGCCCAGGGCAGUGGAGCCGGGCCUUGGUGAGAGGAAGGGACAGAGUGGCCUCAGAAGGAGGAGUGUGGAUGUCGGGGACACCUCUCAAAGGAUCGGAGGUCACUGUGGCUUGAGGGCAGAUGGGGAGGAGAGAUGGAGGAGGCUUGGGGACACAGGGGCGUUUUCCUUCUAUGACAGGAAGCCUGAGGCCGGCAAGAUGGCUUGGAUCAAUGUUCCGCCCCAGUCCAGGUUGGAAAAGUCUGGCCCCGUGUGGGGUGCCUGGCUUCUGACACGCGAGAAGAAAAGACUUUCCGGGAACCCGCCUGCUGCUCUCUCCUUCCGUCUCACUGGUCACCUGGGUCACAGGGCUUCCCUCGCUGCAAGGGAGCCUGGGACAUUGGGAGCAGGGUCUCAGGAUUGGCUUGGAGCAGGGCACAGAGCCUCUUCCCGGGCAGCAGGGUUCUGUUGAGGCACAGAAGUGGGGUAUCCCCAGCUCUUGUUCGGCAGUGGCUUCUGUGCCGGUGAAGUGAAGUGUGUGUUGGUGGGUGCCCGCGGGAGUCACCCAUCCUCCGUGUUGUUGGCCAUUAACUUCAGGGUCCCCUCCACCUGCAGUGUGACUUGGAAAAAGAUAAAAUAAUUUUGCAACGAGCUUCACCUGUUUGCCGCGGGCGGCUUGUCCCUCCCUGUGUGGCUGGUUUGCAAGUGUCUGGGCAGUGGCACAGCUGUGCCUGGCUUCUCUAUGUGACAAGCCACUUGGAAAAACACCUCCACAUCUCUGGUCUCUUUUCUGCCAUUCGUGAUGGGAGUCAUCGAUUGUGCACUGGAGAGUUUUAUUUUGAGCUUGUUCUAUCUAGUAAACUCCAAUGGUUUCCCCCAGGGACGCCUCGAUGUGUUUUGGGGGGAAAAUGUGAAAACUUCACGGGGUCCUUUCCCAGCCAGCACCAGGCAGCUGACAGAGGAGCCCACACGGGUCACAGGUGACGCAGCUCUGGUGUUCGGUGUUUAUGGCUGUGCUUUCUGUGUUUUACAAAAUCAUACAUUUCUG